rnacentral:rRNA from 1 species
GACGAACGCUGGCGGCGUGCUUAACACAUGCAAGUCGAACGAUGAAGAUGGAGCUUGCUCCGGUGGAAUAGUGGCGAACGGGUGAGUAACAUGUGAGCAUUCUGCCCUUGACUCUGGGAUAACUGCGGGAAACUGUAGCUAAUGCCGGAUACUUUCACUGGAAGGCAUCUUCUGGUGAAGAAAGAAUUUCGGUCAAGGAUGAGCUCGCGGCCUAUCAGCUUGUUGGUGAGGUAACGGCUCACCAAGGCGACGAUGGGUAGCCGGCGUGAGUGGGUGACCGGCCAAACUGGGACGGGGACAGGGCCCAAACCCCUACGGGAGGCAGCGGUGGGGAACAUUGCCCAAUGGGCAAAAGCUUGACGCAGCAACGACGGGGGAGUAAGGAAGGCUUUCGGGUUGUAAAGCUCUUUUGUCGGGGGAAAAAGAACUGCUCUAACACAGUGUGCGAAUGACGGUACCUGAAGAAUAAGCACCGGCUAAC